rnacentral:misc_RNA from 1 species
AACGUAGGACACAAGCGUUAUCCGGAAUUACUGGGCGUAAAGCGCGCGCAGGCGGGUCAGCAAGUCAUGCGUGAAAGCUCCUGGCUAAACUGGGAGAGGUCGGAUGAUACUGUUGGUCUGGAGGGCGUCAGAGGAGUGUGGAAUUCCGCGUGUAGUGGUGAAAUGCGUAGAGAUGCGGAGGAACACCAGUGGCGAAGGCGGCACUCUGGGGCGCACCUGACGCUGAGGCGCGAAAGCAUGGGUAGCGAACGGG